rnacentral:rRNA from 1 species
AGAGUUUGAUCCUGGCUCAGGACGAACGCUGGCGGCGUGCUUAACACAUGCAAGUCGAGCGAGGAACUUCGGUUCCUAGCGGCGGACGGGUGAGUAACACGUGGGUAACCUGCCUUACAGUGGGGAAUAGCCUUCCGAAAGGAAGAUUAAUACCGCAUAAUACUCAGGAAUCACAUGAUUCUUGAGCCAAAGGAUUUAUUCGCUGUAAGAUGGACCCGCGGCGCAUUAGCUUGUUGGUGAGGUAACGGCUCACCAAGGCUUCGAUGCGUAGUCGACCUGAGAGGGUGAUCGGCCACAUUGGAACUGAGACACGGUCCAGACUCCUACGGGAGGCAGCAGUGGGGAAUAUUGCACAAUGGGGGAAACCCUGAUGCAGCAACGCCGCGUGAGUGAUGAAGGCCUUCGGGUUGUAAAGCUCUGUCUUUGGGGACGAUAAUGACAGUACCCAAGGAGGAAGCCACGGCUAACUACGUGCCAGCAGCCGCGGUAAUACGUAGGUGGCAAGCGUUGUCCGGAUUUACUGGGCGUAAAGGGAGCGUAGGUGGAUAUUUAAGUGGGAUGUGAAAUCCCCGGGCUUAACCUGGGGGCUGCAUUCCAAACUGGAUGUCUAGAGUGCAGGAGAGGAGAGUGGAAUUCCUAGUGUAGCGGUGAAAUGCGUAGAGAUUAGGAAGAACACCAGUGGCGAAGGCGACUCUCUGGACUGUAACUGACACUGAGGCUCGAAAGCGUGGGGAGCAAACAGGAUUAGAUACCCUGGUAGUCCACGCCGUAAACGAUGGGUACUAGGUGUAGGGGUUUCG